rnacentral:rRNA from 1 species
CCUACGGGAGGCAGCAGUGAGGAAUAUUGGUCAAUGGACGAGAUCCUGAACCAGCCAAGUCGCGUGAAGGACGACUGCCCUAUGGGUUGUAAACUUCUUUUGUAUGGGAAUAAAAUACGUUAUGCAUAGCCUUUUGUAAGUACCAUAUGAAUAAGGAUCGGCUAACUCCGUGCCAGCAGCCGCGGUAAUACGGAGGAUCCGAGCGUUAUCCGGAUUUAUUGGGUUUAAAGGGUGCGUAGGUGGUUUGUUAAGUCAGUUGUGAAAGUUUGCGGCUCAACCGUGAAAUUGCAGUUGAUACUGGAAGUCUUGAGUACGGUAGAGGUAGGCGGAAUGCGUGGUGUAGCGGUGAAAUGCAUAGAUAUCACGCAGAACUCCGAUUGCGAAGGCAGCUCACUGGACUGCAACUGACACUGAUGCACGAAAGUGUGGGUAUCGAACAGGAUUAGAUACCCGUGUAGUC